CGUGAGAUAGCGGGAAUUUAUUAAUUCGCUAGGAAUUAGGUAAUUAGAAAUAAUUGGAAGGUGUUUUUCUGGUUCUGUUCCUAAUUGUGCAACUUGAACAAGUCACUUCUGAGUAUCAGCGACCUUAAGUCCUCGUUUAAAAUCUCGCGGUGGCUCCCCCUUGCCCCUGUGACUCCUGGACCCUUGCCUGGAUCGUAACCGUCAUCUUUCUCUCUUCGUUUAUUCACACCCUCUGCGGCAGGUGUCCCGACUUCUCUCAUUGUCUUCUCCACUCCUCUGUUCUUCCUUCCGCCUGAGCCACCCUGCUGUGAAAUCCCUGAGGCCUACGGAGGAGUACUGAGAUGGCCCCAAGUGAGCUCUUCACUGACAGCUCCAAUUGCCAACCUUUGCUUGGGACGAGAGAAUGUAAACAUCGACAGAACAGCAGCCCUAUGACCACAUGAGGACUUUCCCAUCAGUUCCAGUGGAUGAGGAAUUUGUGAGCUUUGAAGGGGCCUGAAGAUUUUUUGUGGAUGGAAGGCCGGAAGUGCGGUUAGAGGGCAGCAAAUUCAAGUCCUGGACGAGGUUUUGCAGUUGGCAUGCUUAUCCGCGAGCCGGCUGGAGGGCCCUUGUUCCCAUUGUUGAUAACAGCUAAAGCUUCAGAAACAAGAUCCAGUGCCGGUGGAUGGAAAGAAAGGUCUU